UACGGAAGGUCCGGGCGUUAUCCGGAAUGAUUGGGUUUAAAGGGAGCGUAGGUGGAUUGUUAAGUCAGUUGUGAAAGUUUGCGGCUCAACCGUAAAAUUGCAGUUGAAACUGGCAGUCUUGAGUACAGUAGAGGUGGGCGGAAUUCGUGGUGUAGCGGUGAAAUGCUUAGAUAUCACGAAGAACCCCGAUUGCGAAGGCAGCAUACCGGCGCCCUACUGACGCUGAGGCACGAAAGUGCGGGUAUCGAACAGG
rnacentral:rRNA from 1 species